AUGCCUUUGUUUUAACUUCUAUUGACCUCAUCAUCUUCCAGCCUCCCCUGUGACAAUGGAGCAAUCAAGCUUGCAAGUCCAAGCGGAAACACGCCACGCUGCUGAAGAAGCAGGCAUCAAUAUUAGCAGACAAAAAACUUUGAGCAGCUUAAGGAACAGCGCAGAUGGUCAUAGUGAUGCCAUGCCAUGCAAUAAGAGGAGAAACAAAAUCCCACGCUCUGCCCCAGACAGGUUUGCGUCAGAAUAUGGAGAAAGAGGAAGAACUAUCCAAGCCCGAAUUAAAACCUCUUCGUUCUUUGCUAAGUGAUAAAGAUGAACACGAGAGUAAUGAGGUCAUGGCAGACAGGAAGAAGGAGUACUGAACAGUCUCCUGAUGAGUACUGAACAGUCUCUUGGGCAGAAUGAUGCUGAUAAAGGAGUAAAGAAACAAGAUGGUCGGCGCGGUUCGAACAGCAAAGGAGUAACAAAAGUUGCAUCGCAGGGAUUGCCAACGGGUCAACGAGAUGGCAUUGGUAGAAGCAGCGCGAAAGGAAAGGUCAAAGAGUUCAUGAAUAUCUUCAAUCAGGAAGCUGCUUUGAAACCUAAAGUUGACGUCUGACCUCAAGGUGGGAGCUUUCGUGUUGUUGCUGCUGUUUGUCUUCGUCCAGCUUUCAUGUUGGUGCUGUUUCGGUUCUAGGUUCAUUGCCUCAUGAAAACUUGUUUGGCUAUAGUUCGUAAAUCCAUGUCCAUCACAAGUUUGCAAACUCUUGUCGACUUUCAACGAGGAUGAACUGGAAUAACACGAGAGGUGUACUCUCGUGUUGCAGGAAGCGUGGACUCACUUCUAUUCACUUGGAUCUAUAUGAGCCAUCAAAACUUGCUUACUUCAUACUCAGCAAUUGCUUGCAAAGGACAUGGAUUGGAUCUAUAUGAGCCAUCAAAUUUUGCUUUUCUUCUUUCCCAGCAAUUGCUUGCACGGGAUAUGGAAUUGCUUUCCACAGUAAAUAGCACACCAGUUGAGGAGCACACAAUUAGACCAGUUUGCGAGGUAAGGUGGAGUGAUUUUCAAAGCGGCGUCGGUCAAUAACACACUCCAUUUCUGUCUUACCUCUCCUACUGCUUCGUAUAGAGCACCGAGGAGAGUAUUUUUACUGUCUAAUGGAACCUGGAAUCUGAAGCCACCCCUCUCUCUUGA